GGCGUCACAAAGCUCUGUGUUGUGACGUCUCUGGGAUUUCACAGCGAGAAAGGUGUUCGUCUGCUGUGGUGGUGUCUAUUUGUGUGCAGAUGCCAGUAUCCAGAACUUAUAAUAAAGCAAUUAUUCAAAAUUCUUGCAAGCUUGAAGAAAAGUACUUGGAAAAAUUAGAGGAAAUGAAGGAAAAGUCAAAAGGAGAGUCUGUGGACCUGACCUUUUGUCAGCAUUCAUUCUCUGUGAUGUCAUGAAUAAAAUCUCUUUGCCUCCAAGUCUGGGCCUUUGGCGUAUGAUUUAAUCUAGCCCUUCAACAGUGAAAUCUCAAUGUAAGGGACAUCAAAGGAAAUCCACAAGUACGUUUUGAAUUCUUAAGUAAUCUUCUCUCCUAACAUCCGGACACUCCUGCAAAAGAAGAAUCACUCUGAGAAUGUGAGAAAAAACUGCUGACCUCACAAAAAAGCUGUCAGGAAAUUUGGAAAGUCUGCUGAAGAGUUUCACGAAUAUAGCUGGGAUCCUUGGGCACAUUUCAUCUCACUAUGGAGGGAUUAUUGAGUGAAAAAAAUGCAUUGAAGAGGCCUAUUUUCCAAUGGGCUCUCCUUCAGUUCAUUGAACGCAAUGACACCCAGCCAAAAGGGAAUCGAACUGUGGACAAAAAAAUGCUGGAGAUCACAGUGGGUCAGGCAGCAUCCAUGAAGAGAAAGCAAGCUGAACAUUGAGUCCAUAGGAUUCUUCAUCAGAGCAAGUUAUUUUAAAAACUGGAAUAAGUAACUGAACUGACAUUUGCCCUUUCAGUUUCUCCAUUUCCUCGUACCAGUUUGACAAUGUCACCUUGCAUUGCGUUUUGUCUUUCACUCCAUGAAAAUUCCUUUCUAUCAUGUUUGACAGGGCCACCAACUGUACCUAUCCCAAUUACCACAUUUCCAUUUUCACCCAUUCUCUUCCCUAUUCAAAUCAUUUUCACAUUUCCCAUAUCUUCAAUGUCACCAGAAUCCAUAUUGAGAGGAUCAUCUUCCGCUAUAUGUUAAUAGGUCCAGCAGGUUUUGUCUUCGUCACUUGUCCAGGUUUUCCCAACAUGUUAGCUCGGCCAAAUUGUCUCCAAACUGUCUCCAAUAGUAACUCAAUUAAUGCAGCCUGCAACCUGCCCUCACAAGUUUGCAUAUCCAAUAGUUAUUGUUUGAUUUGAUUUGUCUCAUGUACCUUAGUACAGUGAAAAGCUUUGUUUGCAAGUAGUACAAGCAGAUCAUAGCAAACAAGGACAUACAUAUCACAGGGUGAUUGGACAGAAUAAGGCAUACAGGGUACAUGGCACAGAAGGUACGUGAAGGAAGAUCAACAUUAACACGAUUUACAUUAUUGCUAAUUAAAGUUAACAAGCCACAUGCAUUAAGACUUUCCACAGCAGGAGCUGCAAGCUUCUUCUAAUUAUCACAAUGACAAAUCACCUAGAUGAUUACCUUGUUUUGCAUUAAAGUAAUUAUCUUUAUCACA